CAGGCAGUGUUUGAAUUCUUGGGCUUAACU
rnacentral:piRNA from 1 species